GUUGUCAUGGAGCUUUUGUGACCCAGCUGCUUCAAACACAUCGCAAGACCAUCAACAGCUAUUUAGACUCUCCAAAUCGAGCACCGGAGAGCUGCCGGGAAGCACAUUUCUUAAGAGAGUUAACAGAUCAUCUCCGGAGAAGUGGGCAAGGCAGGCGUAGGCAGAACACAAACACACACAGACAUUCCCGAUUCCUGCCCCAGGAAGGAUGCGGCCAGGAUGUCUGGAACCUUCCAUUUCACCAUCCAUUUGUAAACUGGCACAUCUUCCCUUGCCUUCCAUGCUGCAGCCUGAACUCCAUCCUUCAGCUUCCACACACACAUUAAAGCCAACCCCAGUUUCAUCCUCAAAACUGGUCUGAAGCUCUGCAGUAUCUGUAGGUAUUUGCAUCCUGUCGCCUUCUUGAGGCCCGGCCUUCCCCCUUCCCAACCAUUUAAUUCAAGUAGACAAAGGUGAAGCUAAGGGGUUGGGACAGAAUGGUGUCUGGGGCCAGCCUUAACUAGGAGGAGAACUUUACAUUCCUGAAGUCAAGGACCAACACAAGGGAGAACUUGCUGAGCAGAGAUGGUCCUAGAGCCUCCAGGCAUGAGGCAUAGGCAAAGUCCUCGAGAACUGUGCACUAGAAGGUACUAGAAGGUAGAUGGAGGAAGAGGCAGAAGCGAUGCUUGAGGGAAGAGACUGUGAUUGUUGAUGCUAGGGGGAAAGGUUGGACAGAGAGAAAGGGCAGGGCUGUGGAGAUGGCUCAGCCAACACAAGUUUGCUGCGUAAGUAUGAGAGCCUGACUUUGAACCCUAGAAUCCUGACGAAAAGCUGGGCACAGUGGCAUAUUAUCCUAAUCCCAGUGUUGGUGAGGCAAAGCCGUGUAGAUUUCCGAGACUCACUGGAUAACUCGCCUAGCCAAACUAGGAAGAUCCGAGCCAGUGAGAGACUCAGUCUCACCCCCAGCCCCCCUGCACCCCAACAUGGCUUGUGUCUUGAGGAAUGAUACUCAGGGUUGCGUUCUGAUAUCACAUCCAUAUGUGCACACGUGCAGACACAUGAAUAUACAUACAUACAUAGGCACAUAAGUGAACACACAUAGAAUGGAAAAACCGCACUAGGUUAGAGGCAGGGAGAGUUUAAAUAUGAAUUUUGAACUGGGCAUCCAACUGGCAAACGGCUUUGUGUUUUCUUCAGUGGCUCUCAGAUGCAAUCAGAGCUCCAGUGGAUAUGUUGAUAGCUUUCCCCUUUGGCCAGAUGCUGGAAUUCAGGACGUGUCCCCAUAGUAGACUGUUCUUUCUAUGAGCUUGGAAUUGAGUCAUGGGCCCAUUCGCUCGCUCACUCGCUCGCUCAUCUGUGAGGUUUGAAGAAGCCAGGUAACAGUGGGGGGUGGGGUAGGGCAUGCAUUAGCUGGGUGACUUGGGCAUUAAACAGAAGCUGGCUCAGGAGUUUAAAACAGCUCUACUAGGGAGAUAAACAAGAAGCACUAAAGACACUCACUUGGGGAAAAAGCUGACAACUGAGGCUUCAUAAUUCACUUCUACCUGUGAGGUUCAAGUACCAUCAAGUCUGAAAUUACUCGCAAAGCUUCUACCCUGGAUUUACUUUCUAUAUAAAACAACACUUCACAGAGUAAGUUAGGAAAUGCCAUUGAGACCAGUGAUUUGUUUCCAGAGGGAGAUUCUGCCAACAAAUGGGCAACACUAAUUUUUUUUUUUAACAUUCUCUGGGAAAAUAUAACAAUUUAGUAUGUUUGUGAGCUGGAUAAGCACCAGUGAUGUUGUCCUUAACCUU
rnacentral:lncRNA from 1 species